rnacentral:rRNA from 1 species
GACGAACGCUGGCGGCGUGCUUAACACAUGCAAGUCGAACGGUAAGGCCUUCGGGUACACGAGUGGCGAACGGGUGAGUAACACGUGGGUGAUCCGCCCUGCACUUCGGGAUAAGCCUGGGAAACUGGGUCUAAUACCGGAUAUGACUUCUGGCUUCAUGGUUGGGAGUGGCAAGCUUUUGCGGUGUGGGAUGGGCCCGCGGCCUAUCAGCUUGUUGGUGGGGUAAUGGCCUACUAAGGCGACGACGGGUAGCCGGCGUGGGAGGGUGUCCGGCGACACAGGGAAUGGGAUCGGGCCCAGAUUCCUACUGGGGUAAGCAGUGGGGAAUAUUGCACAAUGUGGGCAGGACUGAUGCAGCGACGACGCGUGGGGGAUGACGGCCUUCGGGUUGUAAACCGCGUUCAGUAGGGACGAAGCGCAAGUGACGGUACCUACAGAAGAAGCGCCGGCCAACUACGUGCCAGCAGCCGCGGUAA